rnacentral:rRNA from 1 species
UAGGGAAUCUUCCGCAAUGGGCGAAAGCCUGACGGAGCAGCGCCGCGUGAGUGAUGAAGGUCUUCGGAUCGUAAAACUCUGUUAUUAGGGAAGAACAAAUGUGUAAGUAACUAUGCACGUCUUGACGGUACCUAAUCAGAAAGCCACGGCUAACUACGUGCCAGCAGCCGCGGUAAUACGUAGGUGGCAAGCGUUAUCCGGAAUUAUUGGGCGUAAAGCGCGCGUAGGCGGUUUUUUAAGUCUGAUGUGAAAGCCCACGGCUCAACCGUGGAGGGUCAUUGGAAACUGGAAAACUUGAGUGCAGAAGAGGAAAGUGGAAUUCCAUGUGUAGCGGUGAAAUGCGCAGAGAUAUGGAGGAACACCAGUGGCGAAGGCGACUUUCUGGUCUGUAACUGACGCUGAUGUGCGAAAGCGUGGGGAUCAAACAGG